GUCCACGCCAUAAACGAUGAGAACUAGAUGUCGGGAGGGUUAGCCUCUCGGUGUCGCAGCUAACGCGUUAAGUUCUCCGCCUGGGGAGUACGGGCCGCAAGGUUGAAAACUCAAAAGGAAUUGACGGGGACCCGCACAAGCGGUGGAGCAUGUGGUUUAAUUCGAUGCAACGCGAAGAACCUUACCUGGUCUUGACAUCCUAGGAAUCCUGCAGAGAUGCGGAGUGCCUUGGGAACCUGGAGACAGGUGCUGCAUGGCUGUCGU
rnacentral:rRNA from 1 species